rnacentral:misc_RNA from 1 species
ACCAUGCUGAAACUGGUAAAAUGAUGGUAAGUACAUAUCAGAAGAACAAUACAGAAGUAACAUAAUAGCCAGGUAGGAGGAGCAUUUUGACACAUUUCAUCUGGAUGCCCAGUCGCUCAGCUCAGACAACGUAGCGAUACGUGACAUAUCUGCCAGCGGUCUCACUAGGACGGAUGAUCUUCACAACCUGGCCGCGUUUCAGUCCAUAGUAUCUUGUGAUCGGAUCAGUCACCUGAAUCCUCGGAAGCUGGGUUUCUUUCAGA